UAGCGUAAUCAUUUGUUCUUUAAUUGAGGACUAGUAUGAACGGCCCCACGAGGACUAUACUGUCUCCUUUUUCUGAUCAAUGAAACUGAUCUCCUCGUGAAGAAGCGAGGAUAAACAUAUAAGACGAGAAGACCCUAUGGAGCUUUAAACAACAGAUAUUUGCUAAAUCUAAAUUUUAUUUCUGAAAACUAAACAAAUUAAAGCACUUUACUCUUAAGUUUUAGGUUGGGGUGACCACGGAGAAAAAAUCAACCUCCACGUUGUAAGAGGCCUCUUGGCCUCUAAGCUAAAAGCCACAGCUUAAAGCAUCAGCACACUGCCUCCAUUGACCCAAUAAUUUGAUCAACGAACCAAGUUACCCUAGGGAUAACAGCGCAAUCUACUUUGAGAGCUCAUAUCGACAAGUAGGUUUACGACCUCGAUGUU
rnacentral:rRNA from 1 species